rnacentral:rRNA from 1 species
UACGGAGGGUCACAGCGUUAUCCGGAAUCAUUGGGUUUAAAGGGUCCGUAGGCGGUUUGGUAAGUCAGUGGUGAAAGCCCAUCGCUCAACGGUGGAACGGCCAUUGAUACUGCCAGACUUGAAUUAUUAGGAAGUAACUAGAAUAUGUAGUGUAGCGGUGAAAUGCUUAGAGAUUACAUGGAAUACCGAAUUGCGUAAGGACAAGGUUGAUCUACUAAUGGUGAUUGA